rnacentral:rRNA from 1 species
UGGUCAAGUUAUUAAGGGUGCAGGGCGGAUGCCUUGGCACUAGGAGCCGAUGAAGGACGUGAUAAGCUGCGAUAAGCUUCGGGGAGUUGCACGUAAACUUUGAUCCGAAGAUUUCCGAAUGAGGAAACUCACUUAGAGUAAUGUCUAAGUAUCAUUAAGUGAAUACAUAGCUUAAUGAGGGGAACUCAGGGAACUGAAACAUCUAAGUACCUGAAGGAAGAGAAAGAAAUUCGAUUCCGUAAGUAGCGGCGAGCGAACGCGGAUUAGCCCAAACCAAUAAAGUUUUCUUUAUUGGGGUUGCGGACAUAUCAUAACGAAGAGGUAUCGUAAUUGAAGAGGUUUGGAAAGACCCACCACAGAAGGUAAUAG